ACAGCAAUGAGAUGACAGGAAAAUAAUUUCUAGGAUGGCACAAUGCAAGCCCUUGGGGAUAGCCCGGCAUCAUAUUGCCUGUCCGUAGCAAUUUUAUCGGCUACAUUAACAAAUCCACGACCCCGUACAUUAAUAGACAACACUGUCACCAGCUAAACAGCUGAACCCUCAUCUUAAUUCUAACCCUAAUGCAGUUCCCCAAGAGUGAAAUUCACGCCGUGCAGUGGGCCAGCAAAAGACCUCUGCCCUACCUACCUCGGAACCAUAAGAAGGAGGUAGCUCUGAUUCAACUUGGCUGGACCCUAACAGGACAUAUCCAGCCAAUGCCGCAGUUUGCAGGAAAUAAUCCCUGAUUAAAAGUGAUCUGUUUAUGAAAACUCUCAUAAGCAGCAAAUCAACUGA